rnacentral:rRNA from 1 species
AGUAACGCGUAUGCAACCUACCUAUCAGAGGGGAAUAACCCGGCGAAAGUCGGACUAAUACCGCAUAAAACAGGGGCACCGCAUGGUGAUAUUUGUUAAAGAAAUUCGCUGAUAGAUGGGCAUGCGUUCCAUUAGGUAGUUGGUGAGGUAACGGCUCACCAAGCCGACGAUGGAUAGGGGAACUGAGAGGUUGGUCCCCCCACACUGGUACUGAGACACGGACCAGACUCCUACGGGAGGCAGCAGUGAGGAAUAUUGGUCAAUGGGGCGGGAGCCUGAACCAGCCAAGUCGCGUGAAGGAAGAAGGAUCUAUGGUUACGUAAACUUCUUUUGCGAGGGGAAUAAAGUGCAGGACGUGUCCUGUUUUGUAUGUACCCUGAGAAUAAGGAUCGGCUAACUCCGUGCCAGCAGCCGC